ACACCGGCUUCAGCGCCCGAGCGUGCGCGCGGGUCUCCGCUCGUCGCCCGGCUCGGCGUCGGGAGUGCACUCUGUGUGGCCGCUGCUGCAGUGUUGUUGUGGUUGUGAGAAGGCGGCGGCGGCGGCGGAGUAGCAGCCGGACCAGACGCCCUAGUAGCUCAGUCGCUGCCCUGCGCCGGGCCUGGCAGGGAGCCUGGUGAGAUGGUGGAGGAGGAGGCUGUGCCGUGGCGGGCCUUGCCAUGUCCUGCUGCCUGAUGGAGUCUUGCUCUGCUGCCUAGGCUGGUGUGGAAUGGCACAAUCUCGGCUCACUGUGACCUCAGCUUCCCAGAUUCAAGCGAUUCUCCCCCCUCAGCCUCCCAAUCCCCCACCCCCACCCCUGCGAGUAGCUGGGAUUACAGGCACCCGCCAUCAUGCCUGGCUAAUUUUUGUAUUUUUGUAGAGACGAGGUUUCACCAUGUUGGCCAGGCUGGUCUUGAACUGACCUCAGGUGAUCCACCCACCUUGGCCUCCCAAGUGGUGAAAUAACAGGUGUGAGCCACCGCUCCCCAACUCAACCCAAAUUUUUAAAAUGGGCGGAGUAUUUGAACAGGUUCCUCAACAAAGAAGAUACAUGUGGCAAAUAAGCGCACAAAUGAAUGCUCCACACCACUAGUAAUUAAGGGAAUUCAAUUACUACUUACUGGAGGCUAAGAGACCAGUUAGGGGGUUACGGGAGAAAUUGUGAAUUAAAAUUAUGUAUGAUAGUAGCGGUGGGGAUGGAGAGGAGAGGAUAUGAGGAAUAUUGAGGAGAUAAAAUUGCAAAAGCUUCACACUUGGUUGGAAGUGGAAGCUGACGUGUAAGAGAAUCAGCAAUGAUUCUCAGGUUUCCAACUUGAGCAAAGGGGCGGAGGCCACUGAUAGACUCUGAGGUCAUAAAACACAAGGUGGAGCAGAUCUAGGCGGGUAUGGAGGAAGAGAUGUGACCAUUGAAGUAUUUUCUUUGUUGUUGUGUUGUUGGAAUAUUUCAAGUCAAAUCCCUGACAUCAUGUUGUUCCAUCUCUACACACUUCAACAUGUAUCACUAAAAGUAGGGACACUUUCUCCCAUAAUCACAUUGCUGUGAUCGCUCCUGAAGAUGUGCUCAAUGAUUCUGAUUAUCAUCCCAUACAUAGUCCACAGUCAUACAUACUUGAUUAUCACAAGUAUUUCUCUUUUUGCAGUCUGUCUAUUGGAAUCAGAAUCCUGACAAGGUCCACCCUGCACACCACUUUCUCACAAAGGUCCUCUCAUCCUGAGCAGUCCUCCCUGCCACUGAUUUGUUGUCCUUCAUAAUGUCCCACAAUCUGCACCUGUCUUUGUUCUCCCUCAUGAUACUGCUUCACUUCUAUGCCCUGAAUUUCCUAUAAUGGGGAAGGAGCUCUGAAGCCUGGUUGUAGGAACACUUCAUGAACAGUACUGUGCAUGGCACACAAUCUCUAGCCAUCCCACUUGUCACGCUAAAAUCGAUGACUCGCUUCUGGUAGUGUCAGCCUGACUCUUUGGACAUGCUGAGUAAGCAGAGCGAGAAAGGAAGAGGGCUUCGACCAGAGGAAGAGGAGCAGAGAAAACAGGGAAGGAGAAUUC
rnacentral:lncRNA from 10 species